rnacentral:rRNA from 1 species
GAUGAACGCUGGCGGCGUGCUUAACACAUGCAAGUCGAACGGAGUUAAUUUGAGGAAGCAAGCUUGCUUGAAGAAUUGAAUUAACUUAGUGGCGGACGGGCGAGUAACACGUGAGCAACCUGCCUCUUACAGGGGAAUAACAACGGGAAACCGUUGCUAAUACCGCAUAAUAUGUUGAAAGGGCAUCCUUUUAACAUCAAAGGAGCAAUCCGGUAAGAGAUGGGCUCGCGUCCGAUUAGCUAGUUGGUAGGGUAACGGCCUACCAAGGCGACGAUCGGUAGCCGGACUGAGAGGUCGAACGGCCGCAUUGGGACUGAGACACGGCCCAGACUCCUACGGGAGGCAGCAGUGGGGAAUAUUGGGCAAUGGGCGAAAGCCUGACCCAGCAACGCCGCGUGAGUGAUGAAGGCCUUCGGGUUGUAAAACUCUUUGGACAGGGACGAAGAAAGUGACGUAC